UUUUAUUCAUUUCCAGGAUUAAAGUUUCCCGUGAUGCACGGGUCAUUAAACUAGUUCUUAGUCUAAAAAUGACUUUGGCAGGGUCUUUACUCUUUAAUAACCAGAUUAUGAUAGACGCGUUUCACUUUCACCUAUCAUAGCGGUGAUUUCAUUUUUCAAGUACUUGAGAUGAAUCUCUUGUAACUUUGUUCUUUAUCAAUCAAUCAGUAUUGCCAUAUUCUGUUUCUGGUGAUCAACCACAAGAAGAGAUCAACAGAAGAGUCCUUGAAGACUUCUGAGUAACUUGGGAAAGCAAAUUGAGAAAGGGAGAAAAUUUGGAGUAAUACAUCAUCACCUUGCACUUGCUGCCAUAUCUGUGCUUGUGAGCUUUAUAAUGGGUCAUCAGGGACAUGUUCUGACGACGAAACCAGAACAUCUUAGGAGGAAACUGGAGACAAAAGUUGAGCAAG